rnacentral:rRNA from 1 species
CAAGCGUUAUCCGGAAUGAUUGGGCGUAAAGCGUCCGCAGGUGGCAGUUCAAGUCUGCUGUCAAAGACCGGGGCUUAACUUCGGAAAGGCAGUGGAAACUGAACAGCUAGAGUAUGGUAGGGGCAGAGGGAAUUCCUGGUGUAGCGGUGAAAUGCGUAGAGAUCAGGAAGAACAUCGGUGGCGAAGGCGCUCUGCUGGACCAUAACUGACACUCAGGGACGAAAGCUAGGGGAGCGAAUGGG